rnacentral:rRNA from 1 species
UACGUAUGGAGCAAGCGUUAUCCGGAAUUACUGGGUGUAAAGGGAGCGUAGACGGAUCUGCAAGUCUGAUGUGAAAGGCGGGGGCUCAACUCCUGGACUGCAUUGGAAACUGUAGAUCUUGAGUACCGGAGAGGUCAUCGGAAUUCCUUGUGUAGCGGUGAAAUGCGUAGAUAUAAGGAAGAACACCAGUGGCGAAGGCGGAUGACUGGACGGCAACUGACGGUGAGGCGCGAAAGCGUGGGGAGCAAACAGG